GAUGAAGAACGUAGUGAAAUGCGAUAAGUAAUGUGAAUUGCAGAAUCCAGUGAAUCAUCGAAUCUUUGAACGCACAUUGCGCCCGCCAGCAUUCUGGCGGGCAUGCCUGUUCGAGCGUCAUUUCAACCCUCGCCCUCCCUUUGGGGAAGUCGGCGUUGGGGACCGGCAGCACACCGCCGGCCCUGAAAUGGAGUGGCGGCCCGUCCGCGGCGACCUCUGCGUAGUAAACCAACUCGCACCGGAACCCCGACAUGGCCACGCCGUAAAACACCCAACUUCUGAACGUUGACCUCGAAUCAGGUAGGACUACCCGCUGAACUUAAGCAUAUCAAUAAGCGGAGGA
rnacentral:misc_RNA from 1 species